GCGAGACCUUCGGGUCUAGCGGCGGACGGGUUAGUAACGCGUGGGAACGUGCCCUUCUCUGCGGAAUAGCCACUGGAAACGGUGAGUAAUACCGCAUACGCCCUUCGGGGGAAAGAUUUAUCGGAGAAGGAUCGGCCCGCGUUAGAUUAGAUAGUUGGUGGGGUAACGGCCUACCAAGUCUACGAUCUAUAGCUGGUUUUAGAGGAUGAUCAGCAACACUGGGACUGAGACACGGCCCAGACUCCUACGGGAGGCAGCAGUGGGGAAUCUUAGACAAUGGGCGCAAGCCUGAUCUAGCCAUGCCGCGUGUGUGAUGAAGGUCUUAGGAUCGUAAAGCACUUUCGCCAGGGAUGAUAAUGACAGUACCUGGUAAAGAAACCCCGGCUAACUCCGUGCCAGCAGCCGCGGUAAUACGGAGGGGGUUAGCGUUGUUCGGAAUUACUGGGC
rnacentral:rRNA from 1 species